UUGGGUGAAAUUUUUCAUUUUAGGGAAUACGAAUGGAUUGAUAAUAUCAAACUUUU
rnacentral:tRNA from 1 species